CUGCCAGCAUCGUUGAACAAUACAGUCGCUUCGACAGGAAGCUCUGAUGACGCCAAUGUUGCGCCAACGUUCACGGAACCCAACGUUGACAUGACAAAUCAAGAGUUGGACAGCUCGAGUAAGGGCGUGGCCACAUCUGAAGGGAUUGACAUCAUAGAAAUCACUACAACCCAAAGAAUUAUCGUCUCGGUCACCAAAAGUUCGCCAACCCCCGCAGUUGCAUCCACAUUUCGACCAGUUUUUGAAAGCACAAGCGGCGCUAUGACGACUGGAAUCAGUGUCGCUACCACUUCUUCAUCUGCAAUUACAACUACGACGGAAGUGACAACUACAACAUCUCCAACGACAACUGGUUUAGCCAAAACCGAGUCAACAACAACAAUUACGACCUCCAAAGCAGCAACAACUACGAGUACAACAACCACCACAAUAGCAUCCAAAUCCUGUUCAAUGAUGUGCUCAGACUUUGACAAAAUUCUUGUGGUAA